GUACCGAAAUUGCUUCGACAGUACAUAUACUAAAAUUGGAAUGAUAAAGAGAAAUUAGCAUAGCACCUGCGCAAGGAUGAAACGAAAACAAGGGGAGCAGUGGCCUUGU